rnacentral:rRNA from 1 species
GACGAACGCUGGCGGCGUGCUUAACACAUGCAAGUCGAACGGAAAGGCCCUGCUUUUGUGGCGUACUCGAGUGGCGAACGGAUGAGUAACACGUGGGUAACCUGCCAUCGACUUUGGGAUAACGUCAAGAAACUGGGGCCAAUACCGCAUAGGAGCUCAUGCUGCAUGGUGGGGGCUGGAAAGUUUUGGCGGAUGGGGAUGGACUCGCGGCUUAUGAGCUUGUUGGUGGGGUAGUGGCUUACCAAGGCUUUGACGGGUAGCCGGCCGGAGGGGGUGACGGGCCACAUUGGGACGGAGAUACGGCGCCGACGCCUCCGGGAGGCAGCAGCGGGGGAGAUUGCACCGUGGGGGGAAGAAGGAUGAAGCAGCGCCGCGGGCGGGAUGACGGCGUUCGGGGUGUAGAGAGCUUUCGCCUGUGAAGAAGCGGGAGUGACGGUAAUGGGUGAAGAAGCACCGGCUAACUACGUG